rnacentral:rRNA from 1 species
ACUCCUACGGGAGGCAGCAGUGGGGAAUAUUGCACAAUGGGCGCAAGCCUGAUGCAGCCAUGCCGCGUGUAUGAAGAAGGCCUUCGGGUUGUAAAGUACUUUCAGCAGUGAGGAAGGUGGGUAUGUUAAUAGCAUACUCAUUUGACGUUAGCUGCAGAAGAAGCACCGGCUAACUCCGUGCCAGCAGCCGCGGUAAUACGGAGGGUGCGAGCGUUAAUCGGAAUUACUGGGCGUAAAGCGCAUGCAGGUGGUUUGUUAAGUCAGAUGUGAAAGCCCGGGGCUCAACCUCGGAAUUGCAUUUGAAACUGGCAAACUAGAGUACUGUAGAGGGGGUAGAAUUUCAGGUGUAGCGGUGAAAUGCGUAGAGAUCUGAAGGAAUACCGGUGGCGAAGGCGGCCCCCUGGACAGAUACUGACACUCAGAUGCGAAAGCGUGGGGAGCAAACAGGAUUAGAUACCCUGGUAGGCUCGUGC